UACGGCGGUGAGAGCGGAAGGGAAACACCCGGUGCCAUUCCGAACCCGGUCGUUAAGCUUUCUUGCGCCGAUGGUACUGCCCCUAUGGUGCGGGGUGGGAGAGUAGGUCACCGCCGGAC
rnacentral:rRNA from 1 species